UACAGAGGUGCCAAGCGUUUUAGGCGGAAUCACUGGGCUUUAAAAGCGCGCGUAGGCGGGAUGUUUUUAAGUGUCUUUGUGAAAAUCCCACGGCUCAACCGUGGAACUGCUGGGCAUACUGGACAUCUCAGGCACUCAGGGGCGAGCGGAACAAGUGGUGGAGCGGUGAAAAUGCGUGAUAUCACUUUGGGAACGCCAAUGGUGAAGACAGCUCGCUGGGGGGUGUUCCUGACGC
rnacentral:rRNA from 1 species